UCUCAGACCCACUGAUUUGACUAAAUGUUUCGGUUUGUGGAAUGUGUUUUCUUAAAGCUUUCAACCUUUUCUAAUCUAAAUAUAGCUGUACACUCAGACCCGUGGAAAUGCUAGGCUGAAGUUGAGCGACAGGGAUAUUACGAGAGUGACCUUGGCUGUCAGACCUUACUUCGACAAAACAGAAACAAUCGCUGAUGGCAUAAUGGAGAUGAUUCGCAGAUACAAACUUAUUUUCCAGAACGAUCACGAAAGUGCCUUACAAACCCUCUCCCGGAAAACGAGUUUAAGGGAUCAUCGUCUGAUAAUUUAGAUUAGGAAAUAAGACAAUAAAUAACUAAAAACUGUU